CCUCGGUGGCUGUCAAGCAUAUGUCCUCUCCAUCUUGGCACAGUUCCACGGUGGUGAAGCUCGGCUCCUCCACGGCGAGUACAGGUGACACGAGCAGGGGUGCAGGAGGAGGUGAGCAGCUGCCACAGCAUUCCCCCUCUGCAGGGCCCUCACUAAGGUUUGUGGCCUCCAGGGCGAAGCCUGGAUCGGGGGGGAGGGUUAAACACCCUCAGAGAUCUCAGGAGUUUUGCAGGUGAUCAGCAGGUGGAUGUGUGCCUGGCCUCCUUUAUCAGCCAGGACAGCACUCGGUCUCUCUGGUCCAAGUCAGUGCCGAGUCCCUCUACUUGCCCACAGCCAGCAUUUGCUCCUUCAUCUCCCGUUUCCAACUUCCUUCCUCAUGUCUCUCUCAAUAUCCCUCCCUGUCCCAGCCCACCCCACUGCCGGGCUUUGGAGAGGAGCAGGAUUAGCGUCUCUUUCGAUUACAGAGGCUGGAUGUGUGACGUCAGCCGGGUUUGACAGUCCCCUCUGAUGAGUUGGCACACUGGGUCGUUGGUGCAUCUGUAAAGAAACACAUAAAGGGCACACAGACGGCACAUGGCUCCACUGUUGAUGGACGUCAAAUCAACGCAAGAGGAGCACAACUGCUCAAAUUCUCGACCAACUCCGCCUGCUCUCUCUGGAUUCUGUCUGAACCUUCAGUCCGUCAUCCACAGUCAACCUGGUAUUUUCCAGAUUCCAUCCCUGGAUCAUCACCACCUGGCCCCUGCACCUGCGCUAGACGCCAUUCCAUCACACUUUCACUCCUGCCCUUUCUGCCUAAAAAACUAGUACAAACCAAGUCUCUGAUUUCCUCUCCAACAACGACUUACAUGACCCAAAUCAGCCUGGUUGUAGCUUGUAUUGCUUCUGUCACACGGUGGAUGAAAAAAAAUCGUGCUGGAGAGCAGUGUCCCCUGACUACACAAAAACUUGACCCAGUGGAGCCAUGGAUGCAUUAUCAGAGACAAACGCAACACAAGCUUUUUAUUCUGAUUAUUGCAAUGUCUCUCACUCUAGGCACUUUGGCCUUCACAGCCAAGUUAGACAUUGAAGACAGCUACCCCUGUCACUCUGGAGUCCUCAAGUUUCGCAGUGUGCUGGUGAAUGAAGGAGAUGGCUACAAUCCUGAAACGGGCAUCUUCACCUGCCCUGUGGACGGCCUCUAUUACUUCACUGUGCAUGCGUCUGUAUAUGGCCGUGGACAGUGUGCCAUAUACAAGAAUGGGGAGACAGUGGCUUCUCUGUAUCACACCUCUUUGCCUGACAAAUGUAGCCAAGUGGCCAGUACCAGCAGCGUGGUCAAACUGUCGAAAGAUAAUGAUGUGUGGGUGAACAUUUGGGGUCCUGGUAGAAAUGAUAUUUUUGCAACUGAAGAUAACGACACUGUGUUUACUGGAUUUCGUUUGGGUUGAUGACAUUUGGUGUCAUUAAUCCAAGCCAGCACCACAUGAUUGCUGUUUUUAUGUUAGGUACUUGCAUGUUUUACUGGUUUCUAUCAGUGCGCUUUUGUUGGGGUUUUAUGGUGUUUUCAAGAUGGAUGUGAAAAUUUUGCAGGUUGUUUUCUGACAGAAUAAAGCAAAAAUUAUUAAAACCUUGUCAUUUUGCAUCAAUAAAUGUAAAAAUUUGC
ensembl:lncRNA